UACAGAGGGGGCAAGCGUUGUUCGGAAUUACUGGGCGUAAAGGGCGCGUAGGCGGCCUGUUAAGUCGAACGUGAAAUCCCCGGGCUCAACCCGGGAACUGCGUCCGAAACUGGCAGGCUUGAAUUCGGGAGAGGGAUGCGGAAUUCCAGGUGUAGCGGUGAAAUGCGUAGAUAUCUGGAGGAACAUCGGUGGCGAAGGCGGCAUCCUGGACCGAUAUUGACGCUGAGGCGCGAAAGCCAGGGGAGCGAACGGG
rnacentral:rRNA from 1 species